rnacentral:rRNA from 1 species
GGGCCCGCACAAGCAGUGGAGUAUGUGGUUUAAUUCGAAGCAACGCGAAGAACCUUACCAGGAUUUGACAUCCUACUAACGAAGCAGAGAUGCAUCAGGUGCCCUUCGGGGAAAGUAGAGACAGGUGGUGCAUGGUUGUCGUCAGCUCGUGUCGUGAGAUGUUGGGUUAAGUCCCGCAACGAGCGCAACCCCUAUGGUUAGUUGCUACGCAAGAGCACUCUAGCCAGACUGCCGUUGACAAAACGGAGGAAGGUGGGGACGACGUCAAAUCAUCAUGCCCCUUAUGUCCUGGGCUACACACGUACUACAAUGGCGGCCAUACAGAGCGAAGCAAAGCAGCGAUGCGGAGCAAAUCGCUAAAAGCCGUCUCAGUUCGGAUCGCAGGCUGCAACCCGCCUGCGUGAAGUCGGAAUUGCUAGUAAUCGCGGAUCAGAAUGCCGCGGUGAAUACGUUCCCGGGCCUU